rnacentral:lncRNA from 1 species
AGUUGGAAUCCCGCUCUCCUUGCACGGAGGACUUCCCUUUCGCUAGGGCAGACUCACCGGAAGCUCACUCAGGCACAAGUUCUCUCUAGCUGAGCUGCCGCUGCUCCUCCUCCUCCUCUUCCCAGGUGAUUGAUUCCAGCUUGUGUCAAGUUGACAGACAGACAAACAAACAAAAACAGGAGAGAAGAGUCCCCACAGUGAUAAGAAGCAGCUGAGCUACAAGGCCAGAAGGGCUGCAGAGAGCCAGAGGAGCUGUCUGAAGACGUGAAGGAGAUCCUGUCUCAAGAAUCUGACGGAGACCUCAUGGCAGAAGGCCCAAGUCCAAGUCAGCUUCCCUCUGAGAUGCCCGAUCAAGACUCAGAUGAGCGACCUGGAGAGCAAGGUGAUCCCUGUGUGGAACAACAAGACCCAGUGGAAGUAGACGAGCCUAAAGAGUCAGGCCAGCCUGCCAGACCCAUUGCUUAUGUACGUUCGCAGAGGUCUGAGCCCACAGAGCCCACAGAGCCAGCCGGAGCUGCAGGACGUCAUGCUGGUAGAGGAAACGAUGAAGAACAAAGAGCUUACCCUGGAAGGCAGAGACGGAGGUGGAGGCAGAGGCAGAGGCAGAGGCAGUGGGCAGAGACAGGCAGCCACUCACAGGCAGCCUUCCAGGAGUGGCAGGAACCCUCUGAGGAACUGGUUCUACAGACAUACUUCAGCCACAGUGAAGAAACAGGGGCUGCCAUGAACCUGUAUCCCACCUUGACUCCAGUAGUCCCUGUGCCAGCAGGGAUGGCCCAGUGGCCACCUAUAGUUUAUGGGUACUGGGCUGCCAUGGCUACCUACCCCUAUGUUACCUUCAUCCCUGUGGCCAACAUAGUCCCGUGCUUCAUGUCAUUCAGGGCCCCCAUGUUCUUAGCCUACAUCCCUUGGUGACUGGUAUCCCUUGGUGCUGGCCCUCCCUGGCUAUGUUUGUUUCCCCUGAGGAGGAGGAAAGCUUACAGUUGAAAAGGUUUAUUCUUUCUCAUAGUUUAGGUUCCAGUUCAUCCCAGCCAGGAAACCAGGUACCCAGCACUUACAGCUGGUCUUGACACACCCCAAAUCAGAAGCACGAAUGCAUCCUAGGUCCCCAGAUGGCUUUAGAUUUGGUGACAUUGACAGUUAACACUAACCAUUAGACUAUUUGUCCCUCCUGGGUUUAUUAUUUGAAAAAAAAUAUUUUUAUGGUCCAGUGGCCCCUUAACACUUCCCCUUCCCACUUCCUCUCUCUAUUCUAUUUUUUUAAAAAUCUGUCAUACAGCCUCAAAUGCAUGACUCUGGGAUCAUCCACUAGAGUAUGGAUAACUAAUACUGCAGAAAAAUGACUCUAUUCUAUUUUUUUAAAAAUCUGUCAUACAGCCUCAAAUGCAUGACUCUGGGAUCAUCCACUAGAGUAUGGAUAACUAAUACUGCAGAAAAAUGACUCUUCCUCCCUAGCAACCAUCAUUCACCACCAGCAACUUAGCUGGGGGUGGAGCCUCAUGAGCCCCCUCCCCAUCCAUGCUGCAAUGGUGACUGGCUUGAACUUGCAGCAUAAGGCUUUCCCAGGAAUCUUAUACCCUCAGGGAAAUGGAGUGAUGCUGUACCCCUGAAAUCGUGUAUUUGUGUAUAGAAAGAGCAAGUUACAGAGCUCAGGUGGAAUUGGGAUGCAAGAUUACAGAUUUGAACCAACAACGGAUGGGACUGAACAUCUGAUAGCCCCGACUAUCACAGAGGGGAGCCAGGAAGGAAGCAAACGGCCCCAGAAGCCGACCCAGCCGUGCCUAGAGCUGGGGAGGAUGAGUGUAUGUAUGUAUGAAGUUCUCUGAAGCAGGAUAUCCUGAUGUGGACCCUUAUAGUUUGGAGGCAGCAGUAGCUGUUGCUGAAUAGUAGUAGUAGUAGUAGUAGUAGUAGUAGUAGUAGUAGUAGUACUAGUUGUUGUUGUUGUUUUUACUAUGAUAUCUUAUUGUGUGUAUCUGUGUGGGCAUGUAUGUGGCACAGUCUGUCUAUGGAGGUCAGAGGACAACUUGCAGAGACAGCUCUUAAUUUUUACCCUGUGCAGACCCGAGCCUUGAACCCAGGCCUGUAGGCUUGGCAGAACGUUUUUACCGGAAGCACUGUCCCACCAGCCCAGGAUCCCCAAGUGAGUUGAAAGGCACUAGAAGUUCAGACUAGAUUGAAAAUGAGUAAGUCAAAGAAAAUUGGACAAAUUGAACAAAAGGCACGGGGGUUUAUGAAAGGAAACAAAGAGAGUGAGCCACAUUUAAAACACCGAGUAAGAGGCUGGGCGAUAGUGGCGCACACCUUUAAUCCCAGCACUUGUGAGGCAGAGGCAGGUGGAUCUUUGUUAAUUCUAUGCCAACCUGGUCUGCAGAGUUACAUGAUGAGACCUGUCUCAACAGAAGGCUAAGUGUGGAAUAGUUUGGUAAUAAUAGCCUUUUGGCCUCAGUGAGAAUAUUUUAAAUGUCUUCUUCUUCUUUUUUUUUUUUUAAUUAUCAUUAAUGGGAAUUUCCUGUCAGUUUUCUCAUGGAUGUCUCUGAUCAAGUUAAAAUAGUUCCUGUCUUCAGUACUCCUAAAGGUGAAUUAUAAAUUGGAUUUUGUAUUUAUGAAGUUUGUAUUUGUUUCUAAGAAAAAUGUCCAAGAAGAGUUUUUAUCAUGAAUCUUUGUAUGUGUGUGUGUGUGUGUAGUUAACUAUCCUUUUAAAUAAAUCCUCCUCUUGGGCUUUGGUUG